rnacentral:sRNA from 1 species
AAUUCACAUUUAUAUUUAAGAAUUCAUUUAAAAUCUCUCUGAUUCCUGGCUGGGCAUGGUGGUUCACGCCUGUAAUCCCAGCAUUUUGGGAGGCCAAGGCAGGCGGAUCACUUGAGGUGAGGAGUUUAAGACCAGCCUGGCCAACAUGGUGAAACCCCAUCUCCACUAAAAAUACAAAAAUUAGCUGCGCACAGUGGUGGGUGCCUAGUCCCAGCUACUUGGGAGGCUGAGGCGGGAGAAUCUCUUGAACCUGGGAGGCAGAGACUGCAGUGUGCCGAGAUGACGCCACUGCACUCCAGCUUGGAUGACACAGUGAAUGAAUUGGUGCAGGUAGAAACGUACCUCCGCAGUGAAGGUGUGCUGGUGCGAUACUGGUAUCCUAUUGACAUGUUGGAAAGGCCCCCAGCAGGCUACCGAAGGACGGCCACCAAUGGGCUGGUCACACUGGACAAUACCAACCUUCAAAUUCACAGGGAGCUGCUGCGCUGCGAGGCUGCGCUGGCCAGGCUGUACUGCCGCAUGGCCCUGCUCAAUAUCUUCGCC